GUUUAUGUGUAACUCCUAGCAAUUCCUUUCUCUCCUCCUCAAGAAAGCCCACAAAAGUCUAGUAAAACAGAUCCAUGGUCAGCUUGCAAGCCUCAAUGCCCCCAAACAGGUGAAUGGAUCAAGAAGAUAUGGUAUUUACACACAAUGGAAUACUAGACAGCAAUCAAAAAAGAUAAACUUAUGCCAUUUGCAGCAACAUGGAUGAAAUACAUCAGAAGGAUGAAGAUAAAUAUCAACUAUCACUUAUAAGGGGAAUAUAGGGAAACCAAACAAAGGAUCAGGAAAAACUCUACAGUCAUCACUACGGCAAGAGCAUAGCUGCUCUAAACUAGUUUGAGGCGUCAACACUUCAGCAACACUGCCUUCCAGCGGUGGGAAUACCUUCUUUUCUGGUGGUUACAAAUUUCCCAGGCCCCCCAGGAAGAGCUGGAAUGGUUGUUCCUCCACACCAUGGUCACAGUGGUGCUCACUUCCAGCCCACACCACAGGUUUUUGUACCACUUGUUAACUCUUGUCAUGAUUUCUAAAUUUAAUGAAACUCAUUUUGAGAGUUGGACAUCAAAAUCCUAUCUGGAGUUGAGUGUUGAGUUUAGGGCUUCCUGGUAUAAGAGGAAACAGGAAUCUUUUGGUUCAGUGGCACUUUUAAAAAGAAGUUUAAUUGAAGUCUGAAAUGUUGCAUAAAUGGAAGAUAUAAGUUUUAAUUGAAAAAUAAUUAUAACCACUUAAUCAUUUUUAAAUGAGGGCUGUAAUUGCAGUCAUCGCACAAUAGCCACAUACAGACACUGAGAUUUCCGCAAUAAAGCAGGGAUGGUACAGCUUGAUUUGCUAAUAGCACUUCCACUUCUCCUCCCUUUUGUCUCAAAGAUUAAUUCAGGCAAGGGCUAUUAGUGCUGUUAAUUGGUUCUGCAAUUUAGACCUUGUGCCUGUGAAUGAAUGACUGAUGCAGUCGCUCGGCCAAUAAAUGGGAACACUUCGUCAAUGCUCCCCAUUGUCCAGCAUGGUGCCAUCCUGGCCGCCCAGCCUCCCUCCCACCAACUCUGGGUAAAAAAAAGCCCAGCACCUCUUCUAAUUCACAGCUUAGGUGGGACUCACAGUAGGUCAACAAGAUGUCUUUGAAUGUGGCUGACAUAGUGUAUCUAAUAGAUAUUCACCUGGAGCUCUUCCUCUCACCAGAAGGAUUUUUUUGUGUGUUUGUGUUGAACCCUCCUCUCUGUUAGGAGAUGGUGAAGGAUUGGAGGCUGGGUAUUACCAAGCUUGGCAAAAGAAAGCACCAACUGUAACAUUUGCUUGAAGAUAAAUAUACCCCAAAGCUCAGUGAGCAAACCUUCUUUAAUUGCUGCAGUGCCUUCUUGGCAGGGGCACUGCACCCCAGGGAGGCUUUGGAGAGCUA